rnacentral:rRNA from 1 species
GACGAACGCUGGCGGCGUGCUUAAUACAUGCAAGUCGAACGCAGUGGCGAACGGGUGAGUAAUACGUGGGUAACCUUCCCUCCCCUUUGGGAUAAGCCUUGGAAACGGGGUCUAAUACCGAAUAAAGGUGGAUGGGCUCGCGGCGUAUGAGCCUGUUGGUGGGGUGAUGGCUUACCAAGGCGGUGACGGGUAGCCGGCCUGAGGGGGUGACCGGCCACAUUGAGACUGAGAUACGGCCCAGGCUCCUACGGGAGGCGGAAGUGGGGGAUAGUGCAGAAUGGGCGAAAGGCUGAUGCAGCGACGCCGAGUGGGGGGUGAAGGCUUUAGGGUUGUAAGCCUCUUUCGCAAUCGAGCGGGUAGGUAGAGAGAAAGCGCCGGCUAACUACGUGCCAGCCGCCGCGGUAAUUC